AGCAGCCGGGGAUGCUCAGUACGGCGAGUGAAGCGGCAAGAGCUCAAAUUUGAAAGCUGGCUCCUUCGGGGUCCGCAUUGUAAUUUGCAGAGGAUGCUUCGGGUGCAGCCCCCGUCUAAGUGCCCUGGAACGGGCCGUCAUAGAGGGUGAGAAUCCCGUAUGGGGCGGGGUGUCUGCGUCCGUGUGAAGCUCCUUCGACGAGUCGAGUUGUUUGGGAAUGCAGCUCUAAAUGGGUGGUAAAUUUCAUCUAAAGCUAAAUACUGGCCGGAGACCGAUAGCGCACAAGUAGAGUGAUCGAAAGAUGAAAAGCACUUUGAAAAGAGAGUUAAACAGCACGUGAAAUUGUUGAAAGGGAAGCGCUUGCAACCAGACUCGCUCGCGGGGUUCAGCCGGGCUUCGGCCCGGUGUACUUCCCCGCGGGCGGGCCAGCGUCGGUUUGGGCGGCCGGUCAAAGGCCUCCGGAAUGUAGCGCCCUUCGGGGCGCCUUAUAGCCGGGGGUGCAAUGCGGCCAGCCUGGACCGAGGAACGCGCUUCGGCACGGACGCUGGCAUAAUGGUUGUAAACGACCCGUCUUGAAAAAGGGACCAAA
rnacentral:rRNA from 1 species